GAUGAACGCUGGCGGCGUGCUUAACACAUGCAAGUCGAACGGUGAACGAGGGAGCUUGCUCCCUCCGGAUCAGUGGCGAACGGGUGAGUAACACGUGAGCAAUCUGCCCCGAACUCUGGGAUAAGCGCUGGAAACGGCGUCUAAUACCGGAUACGACGCGCGAAGGCAUCUUCUGCGCGUGGAAAGAAUUUCGGUUCGGGAUGAGCUCGCGGCCUAUCAGCUAGUUGGUGAGGUAACGGCUCACCAAGGCGACGACGGGUAGCCGGCCUGAGAGGGUGACCGGCCACACUGGGACUGAGACACGGCCCAGACUCCUACGGGAGGCAGCAGUGGGGAAUAUUGCACAAUGGGCGCAAGCCUGAUGCAGCAACGCCGCGUGAGGGACGACGGCCUUCGGGUUGUAAACCUCUUUUAGUAGGGAAGAAGCGCCAACAACGGUGGUGACGGUGGGUACAGAAGAAGGACCGGCCAACUACGUGCCAGCCGCCGCCGUAAUAC
rnacentral:rRNA from 1 species